UUGACCUCAAAUCAGGUAGGACUACCCGCUGAACUUAAGCAUAUCAAUAAGCGGAGGAAAAGAAACUAACAAGGAUUCCCCUAGUAACUGCGAGUGAAGCGGGAAAAGCUCAAAUUUAAAAUCUGGCGGUCUUUGGCUGUCCGAGUUGUAAUUUAGAGAAGUGUUAUCCGCGCUGGACCGUGUACAAGUCUCCUGGAACGGAGCGUCAUAGAGGGUGAGAAUCCCGUCUUUGACACGGACCACCAGUGCUUUGUGAUGCGCUCUCGAAGAGUCGAGUUGUUUGGGAAUGCAGCUCAAAAUGGGUGGUAAAUUCCAUCUAAAGCUAAAUAUUGGCGAGAGACCGAUAGCGAACAAGUACCGUGAGGGAAAGAUGAAAAGAACUUUGGAAAGAGAGUUAAACAGUACGUGAAAUUGUUGAAAGGGAAACGCUUGAAGUCAGUCGCGUUGUCCGGGGAUCAACCUUGCAUUCGUGCUUGGCGUACUUCCCGGUCGACGGGUCAGCAUCAAUUUUGACCGCUGGAUAAAGGUCAGGGGAAUGUGGCAUCCUCGGAUGUGGAUGCGCUCUCAAAGAGUCGAGUUGUUUGGGAAUGCAGCUCUAAAUGGGU
rnacentral:rRNA from 1 species